GACGAACGCUGGCGGCGUGCUUAACACAUGCAAGUCGAACGAAGUGGCGAACGGGUGAGUAACGCGUAAUCAACCUGGUAGUGGGGGAUAACGUCCGGAAACGGGCGCUAAUACCGCAUACUAUCAGAUGAGCCUAGGUCGGAUUAGCUAGUUGUGGGGGUAAAGGCCUACAAAGGCGACGAUCCGUAACUGGUCUGAGAGGAUGAUCAGUCACACUGGAACUGAGACACGGUCCAGACUCCUACGGGAGGCAGCAGUGGGGAAUAUUGCACAAUGGGCGCAAGCCUGAUGCAGCCAUGCCGCGUGUAUGAAGAAGGCCUUCGGGUUGUAAAGUACUUUCAGCGGGGAGGCGUUACCCGCAGAAGAAGCACCGGCUAACUCCGUGCCAGCAGCCGCGGUAAUUC
rnacentral:rRNA from 1 species